AACGUAGGUGGCAAGCGUUGUCCGGAAUUACUGGGUGUAAAGGGAGCGCAGGCGGAUUGGUAAGUUGAAUGUGAAAACUAUGGGCUCAACCCAUAGAUUGCGUUCAAAACUACUGAUCUUGAGUGAUGUAGAGGUAGGCGGAAUUCCCGGUGUAGCGGUGGAAUGCGUAGAUAUCGGGAGGAACACCAGUGGCGAAGGCGGCCUACUGGGCAUUUACUGACGCUGAGGCUCGAAAGUAUGGGGAGCAAACAGGAUUAGAUACCCGCGUAGUCCCU
rnacentral:rRNA from 1 species